UGGGGAAUUUUGGACAAUGGGCGAAAGCCUGAUCCAGCAAUGCCGCGUGUGUGAAGAAGGCCUUCGGGUUGUAAAGCACUUUUGUCCGGAAAGAAAUCCUUGGCUCUAAUACAGUCGGGGGAUGACGGUACCGGAAGAAUAAGCACCGGCUAACUACGUGCCAGCAGCCGCGGUAAUACGUAGGGUGCAAGCGUUAAUCGGAAUUACUGGGCGUAAAGCGUGCGCAGGCGGUUUGCUAAGACCGAUGUGAAAUCCCCGGGCUCAACCUGGGAACUGCAUUGGUGACUGGCAGGCUAGAGUAUGGCAGAGGGGGGUAGAAUUCCACGUGUAGCAGUGAAAUGCGUAGAGAUGUGGAGGAAUACCGAUGGCGAAGGCAGCCCCCUGGGCCAAUACUGACGCUCAUGCACGAAAGCGUGGGGAGCAAACAGGAUUAGAUACCCUGGUAGUCCACGCCCUAAAACGAUGUCAACUAGUUGUUGGGGAUUCAUUUCCUUAGUAACGUAGCUAACGCGUGAAGUUGACCGCCUGGGGAGUACGGUCGCAAGAUUAAAACUCAAGGAAUUGACGGGGUCAUAGCUG
rnacentral:rRNA from 1 species